rnacentral:rRNA from 1 species
GAUGAACGCUGGCGGUAUGCUUAACACAUGCAAGUCGAACGGACUCUUCGGAGUUAGUGGCGGACGGGUGAGUAACGCGUGAGAAUCUGGCUUUGGGUUCGGGACAACCACUGGAAACGGUGGCUAAUACCGGAUGUGCCGAGAGGUAAAAGAGAAAUUGCCUGAAGAUGAGCUCGCGUCUGAUUAGCUAGUUGGUGAGGUAAAGGCUCACCAAGGCAGCGAUCAGUAGCUGGUCUGAGAGGAUGACCAGCCACACUGGGACUGAGACACGGCCCAGACUCCUACGGGAGGCAGCAGUGGGGAAUUUUCAGCAAUGGGCGAAAGCCUGACGGAGCAAUACCGCGUGAGGGAAGAAGGCUCUUGGGUUGUAAACCUCUUUUCUUAGGGAAGAACAAAAUGACGGUACCUAAGGAAUCAGCAUCGGCUAACUCCGUG